UACGGAGGGUGCAAGCGUUAAUCGGAAUUACUGGGCGUAAAGGGUGCGUAGGCGGUCGGGUAAGUCUGAUGUGAAAUCUCACAGCUUAACUGUGAAACUGCAUUGGAUACUAUUCGGCUUGAGAGUUGGAGGGGGGACUGGAAUUCUUGGUGUAGCAGUGAAAUGCGUAGAUAUCAAGAGGAACACCAGUGGCGAAGGCGAGUCCCUGGACAACUUCUGACGCUGAGGCACGAAAGCUAGGGGAGCAAACAGG
rnacentral:rRNA from 1 species